rnacentral:rRNA from 1 species
GAUGAACGCUAGCGGGAGGCUUAACACAUGCAAGUCGAGGGGCAGCAUAGGGUAGCAAUACUCUGAUGGCGACCGGCAAACGGGUGAGUAACGCGUAUGCAACCUACCCUGUACAGGGGGAUAACCCGGAGAAAUUCGGACUAAUAUCCCGUAAUAAUAUCCGGAGGCAUCUUUGGAUAUUUAAAGUUCCGACGGUACGGGAUGGGCAUGCGUAACAUUAGCUGGUUGGUAAGGUAACGGCUUACCAAGGCUAUGAUGUUUAGGGGUCCUGAGAGGGUGGUCCCCCACACUGGUACUGAGACACGGACCAGACUCCUACGGGAGGCAGCAGUGAGGAAUAUUGGUCAAUGGGCGCAAGCCUGAACCAGCCAUCCCGCGUGCAGGAAGACGGCCCUAUGGGUUGUAAACUGCUUUUCCAGGAGAGAAACUUACGCACGUGUUGCGUGACUGACGGUACCCUGGGAAUAAGCAUCGGCUAACUCCGUGCCAGCAGCCGCGGUAAAACGUGACGUG